AAGAUGGCUGCGAUUCCUCGAGGUCCCCAAAUGUCAAAUGGUGUGAGCAUGAAAAAGGGGCUUUUAAUUUAAAUACAUACCAAAUUUUAUGACUGUUCUAGAGAUUUCGAGGUUGGUCUUAAUCCGAUUGUGCUAUAUGAAAUUCACUUACAGUAACUUCAAAAAUCUUCAGUCAGCUGUAAUACUUCAAAAGUCACAAGUAAACUCAUGGUUAUUACGAUUACCCUCGGCUACUAUAUGAAUAUAUAUUUUAUUUAUUUAUCUAAAAACACAAUGCUACUUUUCAUUGCAUAAGCAGCGACCGAAAACCGCGUACGAUUAAUCUGCCGCCAUUAUCGCUCGUAUAAACUGCGGUUUCUUAGCUAUCUGAAUAACAAAGAAAGAAUAAGGUACAAGAAUUUAAUUUACGCGAGUUGUUGAUACGAGUAAGCAACUCGGGCGCGCACCUGUACCUGAUAACAAACAACACAUUUUUAAUAAUUGGUUUGGUCUUGUGUGUGUUAUUAAGUACAUUUUAAAUUACAUCGUUAGGCCCAUGAGUUUAAUGUAUCGGAUACCUAACCUAAAGUGCUAGAUUAUUUUUCCAGAGGUAUUCUUGUAAUGUGGUAAUAUUAAUAUUUCUUAAUUUUAGUGAUCUAGAUCCAUUUUUAGGCUUAGGUAAAUUAGCAAUUUCAUCACAUACUAUUAGCAUCAUUUUAAACUUAUAAUAGACAUAAAUUAUUUUACAGUUGUCAAAUAGCUUUGUUUUAUACAUUUUCCUUAUUCAGUUAGGUACAUUUGUUUUUAUCACGCUUAUCUGCAGUUUAUGUAUACGAUCUAGGUAGGAAGUUUUAUAAGUUCUACGAGUACUGUAAAUACUUCAGCUGUAGAGAAUAGAUUCAGCUAAUGACAUAUAACAUUUUACGGGUAAUAAAGGGUAUUUUAUACUUGAAAAGAGAUAAAUUGGACAAUAUGGAUCUCAGUUUAUUACAGACAUAAUUAAUGUGUGGGCCCUUGUUAAAUGUGUUACCUAUUAUAAGGCCAAGGUAUGUAUAUUUAUCCACUUGCUCCAAGGGUUCGCAAUCGCAUAUUUUCCUAGUAACGUGGUGUAGGUACUGGAUGAUCCUAGGUUUUAUUUGCCAUUUUUUAUGAGCGGAGUGGAUAUAAAUAACUUUUAUUUUUUCGUAGUUAAUGACUAAUCCUAAGUAUAUACUUAACAUAUUAAAGUUUUUCUGUGGGAUAUUUUUUGCUAUUUUUAUAUCGCAGUGUGCGGUCAAGAGGAAAGUGUCGUCUGCGAAUUGGCACACGAACCAUCAGAAAAUAUAUUGCACGAAUCAUUUAUGUGCAAUAAGUAUUCGGUUGGUGACAAAAUCGAGUUAUCUAAGAAUGCAAAACCUGUUAUGAGGUUGUCGGCGUGCGCAUUGUUUAUUACAUUAUUACUGAGAUUCAUAUCUGACUAGUAUAGUUGGCCGGCUGGCGGUUGGUAACGAAUAGACACAUGAUCGAUGCACGACUUAGUAAUACGGUUGCCUCUUGCUUAUACGCGUGUACUGACUGAUGCCUUAUUGUUAUAGGUUUUUUUUGCUUUAUUUAGGUAGUAUGUACUGUUGGGUGGGAUUGUUUCAAGUCUAUGUUGAUGUCAUCUAUGUACAUAAUUGUUAUUACUAAGUGGGAGGGAUAUAAUUCUUGAUAGUUCUUGCACAAAUAGGGUUUUAUGAUAAUUUUAGAUGGUCUAUACAUGAACAACACCAAUAUAUGUAUAUUAAUGCA